AUACUUAACUGGCAGGAGCAAUACCAUGAUCACCAAGGUAGUUUUCCCAGGGCUGGGCUUAUCCAUUGCACUCCAGAUGCACUGACUCCUGUGAUUUCCCCAAAUGUGGGAAACUGGACUGCCUAAUUUGUGGUAUCAGUGGACUGCAUUUAUGCUUUCCCCUA